rnacentral:rRNA from 1 species
AACGAACGCUGGCGGCAGGCUUAACACAUGCAAGUCGAACGCGUGUAGCAAUACACGAGUGGCGCACGGGUGAGUAACGCGUGGAUAUCUGCCUUUUGGUUCGGAAUAACUCCGGGAAACUGGAGCUAAUACCGGAUGGUUCCUACGGGAUAAAGAUUUAUCGCCAAAAGAUGAGUCCGCGUACGAUUAGCUAGUUGGUGAGGUAAUGGCUCACCAAGGCGACGAUCGUUAGCUGGUCUGAGAGGACGAUCAGCCACACUGGGACUGAGACACGGCCCAGACUCCUACGGGAGGCAGCAGUGGGGAAUAUUGGACAAUGGGGGCAACCCUGAUCCAGCCAUGCCGCGUGAGUGAUGAAGGCCUUCGGGUUGUAAAGCCCUGUUGUCAGGGAAUAAAAAAUAGAAUGUACCUGACGAGAAAGGACCGGCUAACUUCGUGCCAGCAGCCGCGGUAAU